GAUGAACGCUGGCGGCGUGCCUAAUACAUGCAAGUCGAGCGAACGGACGAGAAGUUUGCUGCUCUGAUGUUAGCGGCGGACGGGUGAGUAACACGUGGAUAACCUACCUAUAAGACUGGGAUAACUUCGGGAAACCGUAGCUAAUACCGGAUAAUAUUUUGAACCGCAGGGUUCAAAAGUGAAAGACGGUCUUGCUGUCACUUAUAGAUGGAUCCGCGCUGCAUUAGCUAGUUGGUAAGGUAACGGCUUACCAAGGCAACGAUGCAUAGCCGACCUGAGAGGGUGAUCGGCCACACUGGAACUGGGACACGGUCCAGACUCCUACGGGAGGCAGCAGUAGGGAAUCUUCCGCAAUGGGCGAAGGCCUGACGGAGCAACGCCGCGUGAGUGAUGAAGGUCUUCGGAUCGUAAAACUCUGUUAUUAGGGAAGAACAUAUGUGUAAGUAACUGUGCACAUCUUGACGGUACCUAAUCAGAAAGCCACGGCUAACUACGUG
rnacentral:rRNA from 1 species